rnacentral:rRNA from 1 species
AUUGAACGCUGGCGGCAUGCCUUACACAUGCAAGUCGAACGGCAGCACGGGUGCUUGCACCUGGUGGCGAGUGGCGAACGGGUGAGUAAUACAUCGGAACAUGUCCUGUAGUGGGGGAUAGCCCGGCGAAAGCCGGAUUAAUACCGCAUACGAUCCACGGAUGAAAGCGGGGGACCUUCGGGCCUCGCGCUAUAGGGUUGGCCGAUGGCUGAUUAGCUAGUUGGUGGGGUAAAGGCCUACCAAGGCGACGAUCAGUAGCUGGUCUGAGAGGACGACCAGCCACACUGGGACUGAGACACGGCCCAGACUCCUACGGGAGGCAGCAGUGGGGAAUUUUGGACAAUGGGCGAAAGCCUGAUCCAGCAAUGCCGCGUGUGUGAAGAAGGCCUUCGGGUUGUAAAGCACUUUUGUCCGGAAAGAAAUCCUUGGCUCUAAUACAGUCGGGGGAUGACGGUACCGGAAGAAUAAGCACCGGCUAACUACGUGC